GAUGAAGAACGUAGCGAAAUGCGAUAAGUAAUGUGAAUUGCAGAAUUCAGUGAAUCAUCGAAUCUUUGAACGCACAUUGCGCCCGCCAGUAUUCUGGCGGGCAUGCCUGUUCGAGCGUCAUUUCAACCAUCAAGCCCCCGGCUUGUGUUGGGGACCUGCGGCUGCCGCAGGCCCUGAAAAGCAGUGGCGGGCUCGCUGUCACACCGAGCGUAGUAGCAGACAUCUCGCUCUGGGCGUGCUGCGGGUUCCGGCCGUUAAACCACCUUCAUAACCCAAGGUUGACCUCGGAUCAGGUAGGAAGACCCGCUGAACUUAAGCAUAUCAAUAAGCGGAGGA
rnacentral:misc_RNA from 1 species